CCUACAAUGGCCUCCAGUAAUCUCCAUGUUCUGGUAUUCAAACCACUGUGUGAUUUCCUGCACACUGAAUGGGCUGACCUAUGAAACCAAUACAAUAUUGCACAAAUAGUGGUGUGUGACUUUAGUGACUAGGUCAUAAAAGACAUUAUAGCUUCUGAGUUGCUUUGUUGGAUAACUUGCUCUAUGGGAAGCCAGUGGUCAUGCUGUGAAGCCACUCAAUGCACAAGCCAUCCUAUAGAGAGAUCCAAGUGGUAUGGAAUGGAGGCCUCUCCUAACAGCCAGCAAGGACCUGAGGUCUUCUAAUGUCAGUCCUGAGAGCAAGCCCUCCUGGAAGUAGACGCUCAGCCCCAGGCAGCAGACUGCAGCUUCAGCCAACAUCUUGACUUCGACUUAUUGAGAGACCCCAAAGCAGAACCACCCUGCUAAAAUCCACCCAGAUUUCUGAAUGUUUGUUGUUUUCUAAGCCCUUACAUUUUAGGGCAAUUUAUUAUGCAGCAAGAAAUAACUACUACAGAUUUCGAUACCAGAAAUGAGGUCAGAAAAAAGGCUCUUUAAAGAUUUUAAGGAUUUGCCUUCUCACGGAUUCUAUGGAUGCAGUAUUCUUGGGAGUUGAAACCCUACUAGGGCGGGAUAAUUUCAUUCUGCUUCAUGUGGCUAAAACAAGCUAGCCUGACCUUGCAAACAUCAUUGUGACAGGAACCCAGGAAAGAAGGAGAAAACAAACAAGCACUUUUCAAGCCUCUGCUUUUGUCAAAUUUGCUUCUGCCUCAUUGGCCAAAGGGAAUCGCUUGGUCAAGCACAGAGUUGCCUGGUAGCGUGAUACUUAAGUGCAUGGAUAUAGGCAGAUGUGGCCAACUGGGACCAUGAAUACUAUGAAUGUACCAAGAGUCUACUAAGAUCUCCUUAAAUAAAGUUAUAGGAUAAUGUUAAGAUACCAAAACCUUUAUUCACAUGUUCCUGUUUUUCACAGCUGUUUCAUAUAAUCCAGUUUUCCUUAGUUUUAUGGAUGAGUCCUUAAAUUUACACAUAAUAUUUGAUGUUAAAUCUUGUCCAAUCUAUCUGGUCAGUUUUGAUGGGAAAAUUCCUUGGAGUUGCCUUCUUUUAUCAGUUAUGAGAGGGUCCCCCUAAGCUUGGAUAUGCUGUCUAGUAAUAAAACCUGACUACUUACAAAUACUAUUUUUAAAAUGCUAUUAAAUUGUUUUAGGACUGCAGAUCACUUCUCCCAGCACGCACAUUCUGUAGUGCUUUUUCUUCCAAGAUCAGAAGGGAGAUUCAAAAAAGGAAAUGCAAUGCAUGAGAUGUUUGCUGCCAGAAGCAUCUCUUCCCCAUUGGAAGGAUGUUUUCAAUCCUGUCCCCGUUGCUUUAAAGAAAAUUGGAACAUAAAUGUUAAAAAACAUAUUGAAACAACACUCGAUGGUGUUUCCAAGCAGAGUUACCAAGUGGUUUCAUUACACUGAUAUGUAUUGCAAGAGGAAUCCCUUGUUACAGGAAGCAUCCAGAAAAACAAAAAAAUAUGUGUGAGUUAUGGGCCUUGAAUGCCUACGCUGGAUCCUCAUGGGAAAACAUGCCCUACUUAGUACAGGCGGCUCUCUUUUUUGAAGGCUUUCUGAGCUUAGAAGGCGUGGGAUUUGGUCUCAAUAUUUUUUAUAUGGAGUGUGAGAAACCGUUAGUACUUAAAACAUUGAUGUCGGUAGAUUUGACCUUGUGGUUUCAAGGAUUUUCAAGCAACCUGAAAUUUCAGGGUAGUCGGUAGUUUGUACUUUUGUUGAGACAGGAUAUUUAAUCUGAAUGUGCUGUGAUGCUGGCUUUUGGGUAGGAGUCACUUAAUCCAGUGUGGCUACUCUGUCAUUCUCAUAUUAUUCCAUCAUCCUUCACCUAGGAACUCUUAUGAAGUGAUAGUAGUGGACAGGCCAUUUGUCCACAGUGAUUGCACCGUCCCCAGUUUUCCCCCAUCCUCUCAAUAAUUCUUGAUAUUCAUUCAAGUUUCUCCUUGCACUUCCCCAUUACAGCUCAAGUGGGCAUUGACUGGACUAGGUCCAAGCAUUUGGUUUAGAAGUGAGCCAGUGACUUAAAAUAAUGCAAUCAAGGCAGCCUUAAAAGACCUAUGUUAUCGGUUAGAUAUUGCUGUGUAACAAACCACUCCAAAACUCAGUUAAACAUAAGCAUUUGUUACAACUCAUGACUCUGUAAGUCAGCUGUGUGGUUCUUCUGAUCUCAGUUGGGCUUACCUAGAUGUCUGUGGUCAGCUGCGGAUCAGAAAGUAGCUCUGUUCUCCCAGGCUGGGCCCUCGUGUGUUUUGAGGUUGGCUGUCUACAGGUUGUACUGGGUUAGGCCCAGUUGAGGUGGCUUAUCUCUGCUCCAUGUAGUCUCUCAUUCCACAUCAGGGUGGCUUAGGCUUGUGCUUAUGGUGAAGGAAAAACUCUAAGACAGAGUGAAAAUGUGCAAUUCUCUUGAGGCCUAAGCUCCGAACUAGUAUGUUGUCAUUUUGAACAUAUUCUAAUGGUCAAAGCAAGUCGUGAGGGCAUCCCAGGUUCAAGAGGUGGAAAAAUAGACCCUGCUUCAUGGUGAGAGGAACCACAAGCUCACAUGGCAAAGGACAUGGUUUCAGGGAGGGGCGGAAUGUUGGAGCCAUUUUUGCAAUUAGUUUAUCAGAGUCAGAGUGAAAUGCAUAGAUCAGGACUAACUCUGUCUCACUUUUGGAUAUGAACAAGGAAGUGGAUGGAAUUCCUCAGAACUGCUGACUGCCUUUUUGAUACCAAGAGGGAAGACAGCCUGAAAACAAGGUAAAUGUACAGGGAAGGACAGAACAAAAUAAUCACAGAAGAAAAAUGACACAACCCUCAUGACAUCUGGAUCAAGCCCUGGACUUUGCAGAUGCUUAAUCUAGUAAAUUCUGGUAUUACUUAUGCCUGUGUGUUUGGAGUUUUCUCCUUGGAACAUAGAGACAUCUAAAUAAUACUGCAACUCAAAAGACUACAAAUUGGAUAUGGUGUAUAUUGCUCAGGUGAUGGGUGCACAAAAAUCUCACAAGUCACCAUUAAAGAACUUACUUAUGUAACCAGACAUCACCUGUUCCCAAAAAACCUAUGGAAAUAAAACAAAAAAAAAAAAAGAAGAAGAAAAACACA